GGAGUUAGGAAAUGCAGGAUGGUUAAUACCCAACCUGUUUGACAAAGGCCCCAAAGGAAGCCACGGCUAACUCUGUGCCAGCAGCCGCGGUAAUACAGAGGUGGCAAGCGUUGUUCGGUAUUAUUGGGCGUAAAGAGCACGUAGGUGGUUUUGUAGGUCAGAUGUGAAAGCCUUCUGUUCAAAGGAAGAACGGCAUCUGAAACUGCAGAUCUUGAGUGUAGGAGGGGAGAGUGGAACUUCUG
rnacentral:rRNA from 1 species